rnacentral:rRNA from 1 species
UACGAAGGGGGCUAGCGUUGCUCGGAAUCACUGGGCGUAAAGCGCACGUAGGCGGAUUGCUAAGUCAGGGGUGAAAUCCUGGAGCUCAACUCCAGAACUGCCUUUGAUACUGGCGAUCUUGAGUCCGGGAGAGGUGAGUGGAACUGCGAGUGUAGAGGUGAAAUUCGUAGAUAUUCGCAAGAACACCGGUGGCGAAGGCGGCCCACUGGUCCGGUACUGACGCUGAGGUGCGAAAGCGUGGGGAGCAAACAGG